CACGUAGGAGGCGAACGUUAUCCGGAUUUACUGGGCGUAAAGCGCGUGUAGGUGGUUCUGUAAGUAGGGCGUGAAAGCUCCCGGCUCAACUGGGAGAGGCCGUUCUAAACUGCAGAGCUAGAGGAUGGUAGAGGGAGGUGGAAUUCCAGGUGUAGCGGUGGAAUGCGCAGAUAUCUGGAGGAACACCAGUGGCGAAGGCGGCCUCCUGGACCAUUCCUGACACUCAGACGCGAAAGCUAGGGUAGCAAACGGGAUUAGAUACCCGCGUAGUCCCU
rnacentral:rRNA from 1 species